rnacentral:misc_RNA from 1 species
GUAGGUGAACCUGCGGAGGGAUCAUUACAGAGAACAUCGCCCGCGAGGGUGACUCUCCAACCCUAUGUUAAUUCUACCUUUGUUGCUUUGGCGAGCCGCUCCGGCCACCGGCUCCACGCUGGUGAAUACUCACCAAAAAACCCUAAACUCUGUUUAUACAUGUCGUCUGAGUACUAUAUAAUAGUUAAAACUUUCAACAACGGAUCUCUUGGUUCUG